rnacentral:rRNA from 1 species
GAGCUGGUAUCAGGCUCGCCCAAGACACCUAGUUACACCACACCCUCAAGGGUAUUCAGCAGUGAUCAAUAUUAAAAAUUAACGUCAGUUUGAUUUAGUCAACGAAAACAGAGCCGGCAAAUCUGGUGCCAGCCGCCGCGGUUACACCACGUGGCUCAAAUUGAUUCGGCGUAAAGCGUGAUUAAAGUAGGGCUAAACCUCAACUAAGCCGUAACACGCUUGUUUCCUGAAAACUCACACCCGAAAGAUGCCCUAUAUUCACCCACUUGAACUCACAAUAACUAGGGUACAAACUGGGAUUAGAUACCCCACUAUGCCUAGUCGCAAACUUUAACUUACACCGCCCGGGAACUACGAGCAAAGCUUAAAACCCAAAGGACUUGACGGUGCCCCACAUCCCCCUAGAGGAGCCUGUCCUAUAAUCGAUACUCCCCGUUUAACCUCACCACUCCUAGCAGCCUGUAUACUUCCGUCAUCAGCUUACCGCGUGAGCGAGUAAGCCCAAUGCCUAAACGUCAGGUCAAAGUGCAGCUAAUGGAGUGGGAAGAGAUGGGCUACACUUUCUACUGUAGAAGAUACGGAAAUUAUAUGAAACAGAAGGUGGAUUUAGUAGUAAAAAGAGAGUAGAGUACUCUUUUUAACCUGCACUGAGGCGUGUACACACCGCCCGUCACCCUCUUC